GCCGGAAUAGCUCAGUUGGGAGAGCGUUAGACUGAAGUUGUUUACGCAACAGUCAUCUAAAGACCCCCCGGUUCAAUCCCGGGUUCCGGCA
rnacentral:tRNA from 1 species